AUUGUGGAGUGGGGAUAUUCUCCCACUCGUGACGACAAUAUAAGCGACAGCUACUGGUGCAAUCUUGCUUCGAAUUUCGACGAGUACGCAUCGCAGGCCUCCCAGCACGCGUUCUCGACAAGUAAUAAAGAAGAGUUAAUAUUCAAAUUGCGAAGUGGGGAUACUCGCCUACGAGAGGGGACAACAAAGACGGGCCUUCGAUCGCCUCUUACAGUUACUAGUUUAGUUGUGUUUUGGACUUCGACGAGGGAACUUGGAAAAUUUCGCGGAAACCACACCUGCAAGUAUUAACGAACAGUUAAUAAAAUAUAUUUCCGAAUUUCUCCUUCCUACAAUAUUCUGUACAGUUUAUUUGAUUUUAGAUUAAAUUGCGAAGUGGGGAUAGUAAGCUGCGAGAGGGGAGAACAAAGACGGGCCUUCGACCGACUCUUACAGUUACUAGUACAGUUGUGUUUUGGACUUCGACGAUGGAACAUAGAAAAUUUCGCGGAGGACAUUCCUGCAAAUUAAAUUGCGAAGUGGGGAUAGUAAGCUGCGAGAGGGGAGAACAAAGACGGGCCUUCGACCGACUCUUACAGUUACUAGUACAGUUGUGUUUUGGACUUCGA